rnacentral:rRNA from 1 species
UACCAGCACCCCGAGUUGUCGGGACGAUUAUUGGGCCUAAAGCAUCCGUAGCCUGUUCUACAAGUCUUCCGUUAAAUCCACCUGCUUAACAGAUGGGCUGCGGAGGAUACUAUAGAGCUAGGAGGCGGGAGAGGCAAGCGGUACUUAGUGGGUAGGGGUAAAAUCCGUUGAUCCAUUGAAGACCACCAGUGGCGAAGGCGGCUUGCCAGAACGCACUCGACGGUGAGGGAUGAAAGCUGGGGGAGCAAACCGG